UACGUAGGUCCUGAGCGUUGUCCGGAUUUAUUGGGCGUAAAGCGAGCGCAGGUGGUUUAUUAAGUCUGGUGUAAAAGGCAGUGGCUCAACCAUUGUAUGCAUUGGAAACUGGUAGACUUGAGUGCAGGAGAGGAGAGUGGAAUUCCAUGUGCAGCGGUGAAAUGCGUAGAUAUAUGGAGGAACACCGGUGGCGAAAGCGGCUCUCUGGCCUGUAACUGACACUGAGGCUCGAAAGCGUGGGGAGCAAACAGG
rnacentral:rRNA from 1 species